ACCAUAAUACAGUCAACCACUCAUUAUUACCUCACAAAAGUGGUCUUGUUCAUGAUUCCAAACAUUUUCCUCCAACAGGGAGAUGGGCAUGGGGCAGAGAAAGAUCACCACUAAAUCAGAUUGAGCCAGUGGAGGACCAGAUACCUUUCUUCCUGAUGGGAUCUAGUCAGACAAAGCCCUCCGGCGAGGGAGUCCCCGUUUGAGCUAAGAGUCCACUCCAGAAGGGGCCACCAGCUGAGCCUGACCUCUCCAUGAGCGAAGAGGACAGAAGCCACUAAUUUGAUUUCUUUGGCUCUGCCUGAUUCUGCCAAGGGAGGAACCUGCCUGGAAGGCAGGUGUCUGUCUAUGCAGUCCCAUCAAGCAUCAAAACAGAGGCAAGCUGUUCCAAGCCUCCUAAUUCCCUCAGGCUCCCAGAAACUAAGGGAAAGAGAUAGAAGUGGGAAAAUAAAACCAGAUAUACAGAAGACAAGAAGCUAGAGUGUUCACUGGUAAAAGAUGAUAAAAUACAGUAGCAAGUGGGAAAAAACAACUGUCUCCGUCAGCCUCCCAGCAACCAACAAGGGUCCUGGACAAAAAAAAAAUCAAGGAACUCUUUCUCAACAGAACAUAUUUAUUUUUCAGUGAGACUAUUUACAGUCUUUGAAGACUUGGGGUAGGAAGUAAACAGGUUCAAUAAAGAACUGACUAUG